AUUGAACGCUGGCGGCAUGCUUUACACAUGCAAGUCGAACGGCAGCGCGGGCUUCGGCCUGGCGGCGAGUGGCGAACGGGUGAGUAAUGCAUCGGAACGUGCCCAGUAGUGGGGGAUAGCCCGGCGAAAGCCGGAUUAAUACCGCAUACGACCUGAGGGUGAAAGCGGGGGACCGAAAGGCCUCGCGCUAUUGGAGCGGCCGAUGCCGGAUUAGCUAGUUGGGGGGGUAAAGGCUUACCAAGGCGACGAUCCGUAGCUGGUCUGAGAGGACGACCAGCCACACUGGGACUGAGACACGGCCCAGACUCCUACGGGAGGCAGAAGUGGGGAAUUUUGGACAAUGGGGGCAACCCUGAUCCAGCCAUGCCGCGUGCGGGAAGAAGGCCUUCGGGUUGUAAACCGCUUUUGUUCGGGAAGAAAUCCUCUGGGCUAAUACCCAGGGGGGAUGACGGUACCGGAAGAAUAAGCACCGGCUAACUACGUG
rnacentral:rRNA from 1 species